UACAGGGGGGGCAAGCGUUGUUCGGAAUUACUGGGCGUAAAGGGCUCGUAGGUGGCCAAUUAAGUCAGACGUGAAAUCCCUCAGCUUAACUGGGGAACUGCGUCUGAUACUGGAUGGCUUGGAUUCGGGAGAGGGAUGCGGAAUUCCAGGUGUAGCGGUGAAAUGCGUAGAUAUCUGGAGGAACACCGGUGGCGAAGGCGGCAUCCUGGACCGAUAUUGACGCUGAGGAGCGAAAGCCAGGGGAGCAAACGGG
rnacentral:rRNA from 1 species